AUAGCAUAUUGAUAUUACGAACUUUUGAAAACAAAAAAUGUCGUGAAGAAAAAAAAACUAAAAAACAUUUGUUGAAACUAAUUUGUAUAGUGUUAUUAUAUUAUUCUGAUAGGAUAAUGGUUUCUAUAAUAAAAAAUCAGUUGCUGAAACAUUUAUCACGUUACACUAAAAAUUUGUCACCUGAUAAAAUAAAUUUAAGCACUUUUCGAGGUGAAGGUGACUUAUCGAAUUUGGAACUAGAUGAAGUUGUUUUAACCGAUUUGUUAGAACUACCAUCUUGGUUGCGUUUAACUUCAGCAUGGUGCAAUCACGUUUCUUUUAGGAUAAGUUGGACAAAAUUGAAAAGUGUUCCAAUAACUUUAGUAUUAGACGAAGUAAAAAUUGCCAUAGAAACAUGUGAACUAGGAACAAGAAGUAAUUCUAAUGCAACCACACCAACUGCAUCCGGUGGGAUGCAAGCUCUACAAACGCCACAAGGAAAAUACAGUUUUAUUCAUAAAGUCAUUGAUGGGAUAACGAUAAUAAUCAAUACGGUUAAUGUAAAAUUUGCUAGUCCUGCUUUUACAUCAUCAAUUGAGGUGGCAAGAAUAAGAGUAGAAUCAAAAACCCCAAAAUGGUCAACCGCUGAUUUGCGUUUGACAAGACUUAAAGAUGUGCAAAAAGGAAUUGUAUUGAUAUUUAAGGAAUUAUCAUGGCAAACUGUUAGAAUUGAAGCUAGUUCUACACAAGAUACUGGUUUAACCCCGUUACGUUUAUUAACUAAUAAUGCCACGUGCCGUAUUACAAUUCGAAAACGUUUAUCGGAUUGUAGUAUACUUGCAUCUUGUUUACUUUUAAUUUUGGAAGAUUUAUUAUGGGUACUCACCGACUCUCAGUUAAAAGCAGCAUUACAUUUUGUUGAUUCCCUGUCGGGUUUAAUAAAAUCUACUACUCAAACAACUCAAAAAACAAAAGCGCAAAAAAAAUUGGAAAAUUUACCUGAAUAUCAAGCACAAAUAGCACAAUCGCAGCAAGGCCCUGCUGUUGAUUUAAGUCAUCAAUCUCAAACUCAAAAAAUUUUCAAUAUGUUUGACAUACGUGAAACAAGUUAUCAUUUUUUUAGUAAACAUAUUGAUUUACAUUUGUGCGAUGAUGAAGGCGAUGGUCGGUCCAUGUAUCCCGACUUAAAGGAGGGUGGGGCGUUGCUUAUAUCAAUCAAAGAUUUUCAAACAGAUUAUUAUCCAUACCAUUUAGCAAAAGCAGAUCGUUCACGUUGGCAUAAAUAUAAGGAAGCUUCAAUACCACCAGCACUAUGGUUGGAACAAUCUUUGAAUGUUUUUCGUGAAUCUGUACUUAACUUGUGUCAGCCGAAUCGUCCAUUGAAUCAUGCUCCUUUAGAGCGUAGUGUUCCUGUAACACCAACUAGUAUAAUAUCACAUAAUGUCCAUCCAUUUGGUACUGAUAAUAAUAUUUGCACACCCAAUAUUUCGUCAGUUCCACAAUCAGGGCAAUCAACACCAAAAACAUUGCGGGGCAGAACAGGCAGUACCGCCAGUGGAGCUCAAAAUGACUCAACUAAUCGUACCGUUUCUAAUAACUUAGCAAAAUUAAUGAGUGCAUGCGUAAUACUGAGAAUCGGAGAUUUUGUUCUUUAUAGAGUAACAACAUCUGGGAAAAAACAAAUGCAAAAGGAAUUUGUUGCAGCUCAACAAAAAAGGAAACCUAAAUCAGGCGACAAAGAUCGGUAUUCCUUUCCACCAGAGAUGUCGCUCGUUCAUGCUGAAUUUACAUAUUUUUAUUAUCCAGGAGAUUUCAUUUUUCCAUUACCUCCGUCCAAAAUGUUUUGUUACAUUAAUCCAAUUCAAGUUCAUUUCGAUCUCUCUUCCGUUUUAUGGUUAAAUUCGUUUGCUUUAAAUUUACAUGAGAGUCUUUUAAAAGCAAGUGUUGGAAUGAGUAAUACAUCAACAGGAGAUUCAAUCGCAAAGAGUGCAAAUGAACCAGAUUUAAUGUAUAUGGAUAUUAAACUAGAAGCUAUAAUGCCAAGAAUAGUAAUAGAAUCCGCAAUAGAUGCACCGACACAACGUGAUAGACCAAAGAUAAUGCAAAUACAAGUUUCUCGAUUCGUCCUUACGAAUAUUAGAGAGACAGGUUCAUCACGAGCUGAUUUGGCACAAGCCUUAGAUUCGCUACAAGAAGGCAGUCUGGUGUUUGGUAGUGGAUUUCCUUCAGCAAAUGGUGAUUUAUGUAUUGUGACAGAUCGUAUAUUAUCUCAUGUUGCCGCAACUGAUGUACCAAAUAGUAAGUUUGCCCAACAAGAGCAUUGUAACGAACAGCACAGCGGUACUGAAACGAAUAUUGGGGAUUUACUAAGCUGUUUGUCAAGGUAUGUAGUGUGGUCUGAGCCACGUGAUGUUUGGUGUAUAAAAUUCGAUCCAGUAUGGAUCGACUUUUUGGGUGCUAAAUCAUUGGGUUCACACAAAGCAAUUCCGUUUGUUGAUGCAGUUCCUAUAACGCUGUGGGUGCAUGGUUCAUCUAAUAGCCAAGAUAUAGAAAAUAUUAAGAGAACUGUUAGUGAUUACCAUAUACCAUUACGGCGAGGGUCAGCUCAAUCAGUGAUAAAUACACAAUUAGAUUAUGAAAAUAGUAAUGUUUUAAUAUUACCUGAAUCACAAACCCAGUCAAAAAAUAUGACUCAUCCUCAAAAGUUUUCACAAUUUGAUUCAAAAAUUCAAGAGUCAUAUGCUUCAUAUAGCAAUAACAAAAUUCCUGAAUGUGCUGAUAUGCAUGCCAUAGCACAUGUUUCCAAUUUAGUUAGCAUACAAAUUGAUCAUUACCAAUUAUUAUUUUUAAUGCGUUUAGCUGAAGAGAUGACGGAACUAACAACUUUUUUGACUAUAGACGCAGAAAGAAUAUUGAAAAAGCAAAAUAUCAAAAAAUCAAUAAUAUUUGGUUGUGUUGUGCCUCAAGUUGAAAUAACGAUGGUAAUGCCGUCCCCAACACCGGGUAAGGAAUCAAGCGGUGGUGAUGCAGAAAGUGUUCUGCCAGAUUCAGCUAGUUUGGGUGAUGAUUUACACAUGAAUAUCACAAAUACAACGUGGCAACAAUCAUUUGACAAUGUUAAAAGUACAAAUCCAUUUGGAAGUGUUGACACCCCGUCUCCAGUUACGAACGAUCCACCUUUUGAUAGUAAUGGCACACAUAUACCAAAUCCAAAUCCAAGGGGACAUAACGUACAAAUACAAAAUGCAACCGCGAUAACUUCUUCAACAAUUAGUCAAAGCUCCCGCCAUGAUACUGGAAUAUUUUCGCAGUCAAUUCAAUCGCCUGUUACAGCAUCGUUUACAAAAGGUAGUAACAGUAACAGUAGUGUUGUUGCAACAAACAAAAAAGGUUCGAUAACGGAAUCAACAAUAAGAAGAGAAAUUGAAAAGAAAGUAAAAAGGGGAUUUAGUAAUUUUAUGACAUCAAUUGAUUCUGCAAUAAAAUCCGGAAGUAGCGUAAUUAGUGAUGAUAUAAGCGAUACAUUUUCAAUAUACAGCGAUGUUAGUUCUGAUUCAGAGAAUUUUGCAAUUGUUAUGGGAGACGAUAAAACAACGGACUGCAUAGAUGUUAUGUUUAGAUUAAACCCAUUUACAAAUGACAGUAAUGUCAGAGCAUCUCCUGUUGAAAUCGCUAGUGAAGUAUACGAAGAGUCAAACUACAAAACAAAUAUGAGCUCCCCAUCUGAACCGUCCGAAGGAAGUUGCUGGCGAAGGAGAGAUCUGGUUUCAAUGGCGACAUUUAGGCUAACAACAGUUGAACUAAUACGCCAAAAUGAAGGUUAUAAAUCGUCAUUUAAACUACAAGUUUCAGCAAUAAGUUGCGACGAAUGUGGAGCAAUACCUUGGGAUGAAUUACAGACUGUUCACCAAUCAACAAAGACAAAAUUUGGAGCACGUUGCCGAGCUUGGAAUUUAGCACCAUAUAACCCAGAAGCUCCACCUGUGAUUCAAUUACGAAUGGAAGAAGUUUUAGAGCCACCGGAAAAUAUAACAGAAAUCAAAGAUAAAAAAGUUAUUCAAAGAUGGUUUACUAGCCAUGCAGAUAUUAAAGUUAAAGAUUUGACAAUGGAUCUUUCAAUGAGCACUGUUACAGGCUUAGGUGAUCUGGUGGAAGAUGAAGUUAUUACACCUCCUCUGACGUUGAAUAUUAAUUUAGAGAAUGUUAGGCUAAAUUUAAUUGAAGAUAGGCCACCAGUUAAUAUUACAUCACCAGGUCCAGUUCCUAUUAAUUUAGCAAUUUCAAAGCUUUUCAUAACACGGGAUAGUAGUGGAUUAUUAAGAAUUGAACCAAAUGUAGUUAACAAUAUUGGAGCAGAUCAAAGCUCUACAAAUCGAGGAAAAGAUCUUGAACUAUUGUCUAUGCAAUUAGUAAUGCGUCAGUUAAAAUUAGACAAUGAAAUGUUAAGAAAAGAAUUAAUAUUGACAAGAGAACAUUCUGAAAGUGUUAGGCAGAAAAGUCGUCAAGAUACUGAAAUUCUUAACAAUGAUUUAAAAGCAGCCAAGGAUGAUAUUGCAAAGUUAACGGACGAAAAAAUUGCCCUGAUGAAUACAAUAAAAUCUUUACAGAUACUUUGCAUAAGAAAAGGGCAAAUUUUGGAAUUUGAAGCUUAAAUUAAAUUUCAACAAAAGUCUUUUAAAAAAUCGUUAAAACCAUCAUUGUCGGUAAGGUUUAAAUAAAAAAAAGCAUCCUUAAUUUCCAAAAAGAACCGAUUGUCAGCUUAUCAAGGUAAUGCUAAAAAACCAGAGGUGACUAGCAGAUAGCAUAACUGCAUGGACUGUAUUCAGUGUUGUGGUGAAAACAACAAUCCGUAGUUUUCAUAAUUUGUAUAAAUAUAAUUAAAAAUCCUUUAAUUUUUUUAAAUAUAAUAACUAUAUACUUUUUAAAUGUAUACUUUUGUGUAUAAUAAAAACAAAACAAAAUAUUUCCAUAAAUAAAUUAUAAAAAUCCCAAAAAUAUAUAAAAUAUAAUCAUAACAAAAUAUAUAUAUAUAUAUAGUUAGAAUUAAAGAAUUUUAAAUUUUGAAAAAACUUGCAAAAUAAAAUUAACAAAUUAUGUUAUUAUUAUAUGUACAUAAUAUACAUAUUGUGUAAGUAAAUCUAAUAUGUAUAUAAUAAAGGUUUACGUACAUAAUAUAAAUUUGCUAUAAGAAGCCAAAUAGAACAAAUUUUAUUUUUAAAAUGAAAAUGAUUCAAUUUUAACAAAAAUGUAAAAAUUUCAAUUUAUUGCUGGUAAAAUUGUAUAUUAAAUGAAAGAAAAAAUUGCGAAUAGCGCUUUCAUUUUAAACAGUUUAAAUUUUAGCAGUGCGAUGUUUUUUUCGAUGAUUUAAUAAUAUUUCAAGUCAGCACAAAAUUUCAAAAAGUUUACGUUUCUUUUAAAAACAAAGAAUAUCAAUGAAAAAUUUGUAUUCCUUCUCCAGGAUAUCAGACAUAAUAUCUGUUUUUGUAUUGGUUUCAUUCUGUAGGUUCAUUAUUUAAACGAAUUUGUCAAAGAAACUUUUUUUUUUUAAAUUAUUGGGUUAACAUAAAAUAAUUACUUUUCUAUACACAUUAAUUAAAAAAUAUAUUUAUUACCAAAUUAUAAAUGUGACUUAAGAAUUUUUGUGCACAAGUUUUAAAAAUUUUUUAGUAACGAUAAAUGAUAAAUAUUGGUACCGUAAAACAAAAAACUUUUUUAUAUAUACUGGAAAAAAUUAUUUUUACAAAUAAAAAUGUUAUUCCACUGACUAUAAAAAUAAAUUUUCAACAAACAAGAUAGUUUAGAAAAAUAGGUAGAUUAACAAACUCAACUCAUUACAUAAUUUUUUAAAAAAAUCUUUGUAUAUAUAAAUAAAAUAUACAUAUAAAGAAAUAAAAUAUAUAUAUAUAAAUAUAUAUAUCUAUAUAUAAAUAUAUAU